AACGAACGCUGGCGGCAGGCUUAACACAUGCAAGUCGAACGCCCCGCAAGGGGAGUGGCAGACGGGUGAGUAACGCGUGGGAAUCUACCCAGAACUUCGGAACAACUGAGGGAAACUUCAGCUAAUACCGGAUACGCCCUACGGGGGAAAGAUUUAUCGGUUUUGGAUGAGCCCGCGUUGGAUUAGCUAGUUGGUGAGGUAAUGGCUCACCAAGGCGACGAUCCAUAGCUGGUCUGAGAGGAUGAUCAGCCACACUGGGACUGAGACACGGCCCAGACUCCUACGGGAGGCAGCAGUGGGGAAUAUUGGACAAUGGGCGCAAGCCUGAUCCAGCCAUGCCGCGUGAGUGAUGAAGGCCUUAGGGUUGUAAAGCUCUUUCAGUAGGGAAGAUAAUGACGGUACCUACAGAAGAAGCCCCGGCUAACUUCGUG
rnacentral:rRNA from 1 species